rnacentral:rRNA from 1 species
GUGUCCCUACGGAGGCAGCAGUAGGGAAUCUUCCACAAUGGGCGAAAGCCUGAUGGAGCAACGCCGCGUGGGUGAAGAAGGUCUUCGGAUCGUAAAACCCUGUUGUUAGAGAAGAAAGUGCGUGAAAGUAACUGUUCACAUUUCGACGGUAUCUAACCAGAAAGCCACGGCUAACUACGUGCCAGCAGCCGCGGUAAUACGUAGGUGGCAAGCGUUAUCCGGAUUUAUUGGGCGUAAAGGGAACGCAGGCGGUCUUUUAAGUCUGAUGUGAAAGCCUUCGGCUUAACCGGAGUAGUGCAUUGGAA